ensembl:lncRNA
CUCCUGUCCAUCACUCCUCUACCCCUCCUAUCCACUCUGCCUCUUUUAUCUUUCCCCUCCCUCCCUCUCCCUCCCUCCCUCCCUCCCUCCCUCCCUCCCUCCCUCCCUCCCUCCCUCCCUCCUCCCUCCCUCCCUCCAUCAGUGUCUCUUUCUCACCCUUCCUCUCCUCUAUCCCUCUUCCUCACCCCAAGGGGGGAAUAGGCGUCGUAACCAGAGCCCUUUGACUGCCCAGUUGUGCCCAUAGGGGGGGGGGGGGGGGGGUGUGCUGGCACAUUGAUUUGUAUGUGUGUGAGUGUGAGAGAGAUAAAGGAAGGAAGUGAGGGAGGGAAAAUAUUACUGUAUCGUAUGCCUGCACAGCGGCAGCGUGUGUUACUGUUAGAGGGAGAGAGAGCGAGAGAGGCACUGUAUAAUGUUCUCUCUCUACAGAGAAGGCUCUUCUGUGACGGAGAGAGAGUUAAGAGGGAACUGAAGCAGCUUGCUGAAAGGUGACAUCCACUUGCGUCCCAGCCCCAGACCUGGUGAGGAUUCAUUUAACUCUGUCCUCCUGCCUUCAUGUCAUUGUAAUUUGGUUUGUUUGAACUUAGUUUGGCAUUAGUAAGGUGUUCUCCACUCUGUCUUUACAUUCUGAUACUCACUGCAGUGCUGUACUACAAAAGCCCCAAACUAAAAUAGUUGAUCUCUUUCCCUCAUUCUCAGCAGAGUGAGUAUACAGGCCAUGGAAGAACUGGGACAUUUUCAGCUUCCAGGAAUUGUGUACAGAUCCUUGAGACAUGGGGCCGUGCAUUAUCAUGCUGAAACAUGAGGUGAUGGCGGCAGAUGAAUGGCACGACAUUGAGCCUCAGGAUCUCGUCACGUUAUCUCUGUACAUUCAAAUUGCCAUCGAUAAAAUGUAAUUGUGUUCGUUGACCAUAGAUUAUUCCUGCCCAUGCCACUUCCCCAGCACCACCAAACCGCUCGCCCACACAAUGCCAUCUGGCCGGUACAGUUGAAACCGAGCAAACUUCUCCAGCGUGCCAGUGGCCAUUUGAGCAUUUGCCACUGAAGUCGGUUAUGAGGCCAAACUGUAGUCAGGUCAAGACCCUUGUGAGGACGACGAGCAUGCAGAUGAGCUUCACUGAGACGGUUUCUGACAGUUUGUGCAGAAAUUCUUCGCUUGUACAAACCCAGUUUCAUCAGCUGUCUGGGUGGCUGGUCUCAGACAAUCUACAGUUGUGAGGCCGGUUGGAUGUACUGCCAAAUUCUCUAAACGACGUUGGAGGCGGAUUAUGGUAGAGAAAUGAACAUUAAAUUCUUUGACAACAGCUCUGGUGGACAUUCCGUGCAGUCAGCAUGCCAAUUGCAUGUGCCCUCAACUUGAGACAUCUGUGGCAUUGUGAUGUAACAAAACUGCACAUUGGCCUUUUAUUAUCUCCAGCAGAAGGUGCACCUGUGUAAUGAUCAUGCUGUUUAAUCAGUUUCUUGACAUGUCACAACCCAUCCACCUGACAGGUAUCUUGGCAAAGCAGAAAUGCUCACUAACAGGGAUGUAAACAAAUUUGUGCCCUUUUUAUGCGUACGGAACAUUUCUGGGAUAUUUUAUUUCAGCUCAUGAAACAUGGGACCAACACUUUACAUGUUGUUUAUAUUUUUGUUCAGUGAAGGACUUGUUAUAUUUCUGCAUAGUAGUGAAGGACGUGUUCUCUUUCAGUCAGUAGUG